GGGGGGGUUGGUCAAACGUGGGCAUCGUUGGUGCGGCGAGGGGUGGGAUCUGCUCUAUUUGCCCCGACCGGGGCGCAGGCGAUGACCUCACGCGCUGCACGGCGGGCCCCAGGCGCAGCAGGCACCGACCCCGACAGGGCAUAAGAUCAGCCGUUGCAGGAGUGGCCCCGUCCGUAUCUGCUUCGGUCGCGCGCGAGGACGACGCCCCGGCCGCAUCGUGACCCUGAGCGACAAACGGGUGGGUGCCAACUGUCCCAAAGCGAACAGCCGAACCGUCCUCCACAUCUUUGGUCGUCACUUUACGCGAGGGACCCACGGACAAAGUCGCUUUGGUCGUCACGGCUCGCGUCUGAUGGN
rnacentral:lncRNA from 1 species